GAGGCCUGACGGGCGCGCGCGCGGGCAGGCAGGCACGUGGGGCCCUUUCGUCCCCGCGUCCAGGUGUCCGGCGCCAGCCUCAAUCCUUGCCGCGGCCCCGUGGUGCAGGCCCGUGAGGCGAAAGACCGAACUACAGCCCCAGUCGUCGCCCUAUUUGGGGCUAUGCUGAUUGUUUCUGGGAAGCACUAGAAACGUGGCCAUGAAAAGAAUGGCGUCCAUUUACAUAACGCUUUGUUUGCAUUUUGCAAGUUUCGGUUAAACCCGCAGAAACCCCACCUCCUGUCCUCGUGGUUUAGUUGCGGCAACCUUUUUGAGAUAUUUAAAACAAUGGUGUGCGUGUCUGGAGGCCUCAUUUACUCGGGGCAUACGACCAGUGCUUUGGGAAGUUCCUGCGGCUUUUCCCGCGCCCUUUAUGUUCCCGCUGCUGCCUUUCGGCUCUUUCCCCCCUCGGUGCAGCCGCCGCGCCCCGCUGUCUCCGGGGGCGGCCUCCAACGGGGCCCCGCCAUCUUGGGAGGCCGUUUUUGCCGAGUGGCACUGCCCGCGUUUCUCUCGCAAAGAAAAUGUCGCCCGGGACGGUGGUGUAGGAGUUGUGAUUUCUUCCCUUUUCUCUUUUGGCUGUCUAAGAUCAGAAAAGGUCUUGUGGGCAACAUGCUUCAGGAUCCCUCAGGGAAAGCGGCUAACGUGGCGCUCCCUCCGCCCCUUUCUUCCUCACGGGGGUAGCCGCCAUGUUUCCGGAACACAAAAUGGCGACACGUGGCCUGGAAUCGUCGCCAACGAGAAAUUGAGACCGACCCGAAAGCUCUAGAAUGUGUCUUCCCCACCCCGUCCUAGUCCGAAGGUCGGGGGAGGGGGGAGACGGAUUUUAAUGCAUUUCCCCUUUUCAUUUGAAACGGAUGAAGACACUUAGGUCCAGAGAGAUGAAGUGACUAAUCCAUGGUAACCCAAUGUCAGGGGCAUGGAUUCCAGACCCGAUUUCCUUACUGACUUGCACUAUCUUGUGGAUAUGUGAGUGAAUUCCACACCACCCGUUUUACAGAUGAAGCCUCUGAGAUAUGGAGCAACUGACUGGUAAUAGUCACUGCCCCACCCCUGGAGCCUCACACAUGACUCUUCUGCCACUCGUGUGAUUGCAAGUUGGUUAAGGGGUUUAACAAGUUUGGGAAAGGUCUUGUCACUGAAACAUCGUGGUUAAGAGUGUGACCCCGGAGCCAUCCUGCUGGAGCCUGAAUUCUGACCCAACCACUUAUUAACUGUGUGACUCUGGUCUUGAAGAGGAAUUGCUACACGCUGCCAUGUGCCUUCCCGUGUGGCAGAGGAGCCCAGCGGCCGGCAGCCUGCUGCAGAGUCCAGUUUCAACAACCGUAAAAUGGGAGUUCAUAAGCGCACCUGCCUCACGGGUUGUCACGAAGGUUGCAUGAGACGGGCCACGUAAGUGCACGAGGUCUCAAAGUUGCCCAGGUCCCCUAAAGGAGAGGAGCUUAAAGCCUUAUGGAUCAGCACCACAGGCAGCACAUGUGGUUAGGGACAACGUCUUAGCUUCCGGCAUCCCUUCACCCCACCACGCUCUCACCCACACUCAGCCCUGGUAAAUGGUUUCCUUCAACCCUGGCUUUCUUCAGGCCCUUGCAGUUACUCUUUGGUAAGAAUUUUAGCCAAUCCAGUACCUCUUCAGAGACAUUUGCAUUUCGAAUGACAGGUGGAGUCGAAGGUCUUGGAAUGAAUUAUUCGUUUGCUCAUUCUAGAACAAUGCUAUCUAAUCGUACUUUCUGAGACGAGGGAAAUGUUCUCAAUCUCUGCUGUCCAAUAUGGUAGCCACCAGUCACACGAGACUACCGAGCCCCUGAAAUGUGGCUACUGUGACUGAGGGACUGAAUUUUUAAUUUAAAUUGACAAAUGAAAAAACAGACACUGUUGCUUUGCAUUCCUGAGAUCAGUUAGAUAAGGACACUAGCCCUGAGUGUCCCCCAAAGGUAGCUUUUUUAAAAUGCAAUUUUAUUGAGAUAUAAUCACAUAACAUACAGUCAUUCAAAGUGUACAAUCAGUAUCGUCAUAUAGUUGUGCUUUCAUCACCACAAACUUUGAACAUUUU